rnacentral:misc_RNA from 1 species
GCAACUCCCAGCAAGACUCACCAAUCUUCUCACCGCCCCCAACACGUGGCAAUGGCACAUCAAACACAUGUCCGCCCCACUUCAUGCACACACGUCCAUCGUAUUUCUAAAACCGCCGUUAGCCUCCUGCCUUUAACUUCUCCGGUCUAUCUCAAAUCUCACUUCUGAUCAAGAAGCCACACCAUAAUACCACCUUCAAAUUACACGCCUAGAAAUGGAGUCUGAAAAAGCUCCCAGAGAGAACACUACCAAUGAUCGAGAGGUUCACUUGGAGGACCCAAAGACAACAAAAGAUUCAGUUGGUGCAGCGGAUCGGACAGGGAAAGCAAGAGAAACCAAUGAGGGGGAGGCCCAGUUCGAGUCUCUUGUUGAUAAGAUGAAAGGAAUAGACACUUCCCGUGAUAAAGAUGAAGCACGCGAACAGGAGAAAGGGAAAGUGUCAGGGACAGGAGGAGGAGGGAAAUCAGCAGGGGCUUAUUCUGUCGGCAAGUUUGAAGUAGAUGAUGAGGAAGAAAGAGUUUCAACAGAGGCUGAAAAGGCAGGCAAAGAAGAAAAUGGGGAAAAUAAGCAACUUUCUCUGGAAGAAAUAUCAAAGCUUAGACAAUUUGCACAACAGAAUUCGG